UCUCAGUGCUCCUUCACCUCUUGUUUUCAAUUCAUAUGUCUUUCUUCCUUGUGUUCUGGGCUGUUUCCUUCUGGCUCCUUCUGGCUCCUUCUGUUUUGGAUUUUAUGUUUGUUUUUUUUCAGUUUGCACAUUUUUUGGACUCUAAAGAAAAAUCUAUUUCAUCAAGAUCACAGACACAAGUAGAGAAGGCUCCAAGGAAAAAAAGUUUGGAGCCACUGAAUUAAAGUAGCGUUCAUCUUGUUACACCCAUCCGCUACAAUCUCUCCGGGGAAAGCCAACAACAAUCCUGACUCCUAUUCAAUGGAGGACUGAUGAAAAACAUUCCAGACACCGAAUGAACCAACAAGCCAUGUUUGGCAAGCAAAUGUGUGCAGUGCCAGCCAUCAGGAGGGGGUUUGCCUUUUUUCACUUAUCAGAAGACAACUGACGGGCAUGUGUUACAAAAGAUAACAGGCAAGUGUCAUUUGUACCAUUCAGACAAAAACAUGACAAACACAUCAGAGAAUGUCUAAAAGGGAAUAUUUGUUAACAAAUUAAA